rnacentral:misc_RNA from 1 species
GAUGAAGAACGUAGCGAAAUGCGAAAAGUAAUGUGAAUUGCAGAAUUCAGUGAAUCAUCGAAUCUUUGAACGCACAUUGCGCCCGCUGGUACUCCGGCGGGCACGCCUGUCCGAGCGUCAUUUCAACCCUCAAGCCCUCCUUCGGGAUGGGCCUGGUGUUGGGGCUCGGCCGCCAUCUCCGGCGGCCGUCACCUAAAUACAGUGGCGGUCACGUCGCGACUCCUUUGCGUAGUAGAAACACCUCGCUCCGGAUAGCAACGCGGUCCACGCCGUAAAACCCCCAAUUUUCAAUGGUUGACCUCGGAUCAGGUGGGAAUACCCGCUGAACUUAAGCAUAUCAAUAAGCGGAGGA